GUCCACGCUGUAAACGAUGAUUACUCGAUGUUGGCAAUACACAGUCAGCGUCCAAGCGAAAGUGAUAAGUAAUCCACCUGGGGAGUACGAUCGCAAGGUUGAAACUCAAAGGAAUUGACGGGGGCCCGCACAAGCGGUGGAGCAUGUGGUUUAAUUCGAUGAUACGCGAGGAACCUUACCAGGGCUUAAAUGCAGAACGACAGAGGUGGAAACACCUCCUUCUUCGGACGGACUGCAAGGUGC
rnacentral:rRNA from 1 species